UACAGGGGGGGCAAGCGUUGUUCGGAAUUACUGGGCGUAAAGGGCCAGUAGGCGGCCAACUAAGUCACACGUGAAAUCCCCAGGCUUAACCUGGGAACUGCGCUUGUAACUGGCAAGCUAGAGUGUGGCAGAGGGGGGUGGAAUUCCAGGUGUAGCGGUGAAAGUGCGUAGAUAUCUGGAGGAACACCGGUGGCGAAGGCGGCAUCCUGGACCGGCAUUGACGCUGAGGCGCGAAAGCUAGGGGAGCAAACGGG
rnacentral:rRNA from 1 species